rnacentral:sRNA from 1 species
UGGACUAAGAACUCUCGCCUG